AUGCUGUCGUGUAACAAACGGCUCGUCUGAAAUGCCUGAGUGUACCCUGCUUUGCGGCGUAUUCGGUGUGAUAAACAUCUUCACUGGAGUUGACUUUCGGGUCGCGCUUGUACUGAUUGGCUCUAUGCUUCUAACUGUCCUGACAAGACAAUCUUUGACAAUUUGACCUCAAAUCGGGUGGGACUACCCGCUGAACUUAA
rnacentral:misc_RNA from 1 species